ACAUAUUUUUGUGGCAAAUAUAUGAAUUUAUUAUGACUCAACUGCAUGACAUGCAGUUUGAGCUAGUGUACAACUUACUAAGCAUCUUCUAAGUCAGUUAUAAUAUACAUGAAGAUAUUUAAGAGUUCGAUGUUCAAUAGAACUUCAGAACAUGGCUUGUGUGCAUGCUAUUCUCAUGGAGCUCUCUGGAAGGCAUGUAUAGGUUGUUUCUUUGCACAUAUAUAACGUGAGAGAGACGAAUUGUUAAUUCUGAUUUUUUGUUCAUAUGUUCAGAAACAUAUACAAAUCAACUGCUAAUUGUGCUGAAACUUCUAUUUGAUAUUAAACAGAGUGCUGGUGGAUAUUUAUUAUGCUUGGAAGGGCUCAGUCUAUUCCCUUGGCUACAAUUCAAUAUGACAAAGAGGACUCAUUAGGAUAAUUUUAUGUCUACUUGGUGGCUUAAUUAUGCAGAUGAGGACCAGGAUGAAGUCAUCUUCAAGUAGUUGAAUGAGAUGUGGACAUGUAUAGCAACUAGUGUAUACAUAUAUGACUCAUAUUGCAACUCUACCUUUAUGAUUAUAAAUUAAGCUCAACACUACAAACUUAUUACUUAUGUCUUUAUAAUUGUAAUACACAUGUGUUUGUUUUCUCGGUUUCACAGGAGGAAUGGUAGAUAAACAUAAUUUUUAUGACAAAUAUGUGACUUGGUGACUCAACUGUAUGAUUAGUUUGGGCUUACAAAUCACUUGGUUUUGAAUUUCAACUGUGCGUGAGUAGAGCUGAAACUUUCCUUAUUUCUGGAGUUGAAUCGAUUUCCUUCUUAAGUUGCUUAUUUUUUCUGCACAGUUAAUGAGCAGGAGUUUUUGUUUUCAGGAGUUAGUAUACCAAGCAAGUCUUUGAUGAAGCUUGGGGUAUAUCGUCUGGUGGUGCAGCUGCAUAGAAGGGCGAAAGUUUGAAUUACAAUUAGAGCAGCAAAGGAAUGAGAUGUGAAGUUGCAGGACUUGAAUUAAUUUGUCGAUACGCAAUUGCUUUGGUACGUUGCAACUGAUGAAAAUGAAUCCUAUGCUCAAAUGUGUCAUGAUCAAAACCAGCACUGAUUCUAGCUCACAGCAGAACUGAUGAAAAGAGGAUUGAACUGCAGCGUUGAUGCUUAUUUGACCUUGAUUGCAUGCUGAGGAGAACAACAUCAGUUUCCUCCCCAUGAGUUUGAAGUGCAGUGUCCAAACUGGUGGUGUAAAUAAUGGAAGCAUGUAUUUGAAAUAUAAACAUUUUCCAGCUAAACAAACCUUUAUUGAAGAGAUGCUGUUAAGCAUUAAUUGCUCAUAGUAUCUCUAUAUUGAUGGAGCUUUCUAUCUUCUCUAUGUUUUUA